rnacentral:rRNA from 1 species
UACGAGGGGGGCAAGCGUUGUUCGGAAUUACUGGGCGUAAAGGGCGCGUAGGCGGCCAGCACAAGUCAGUUGUGAAAUCUCCGAGCUUAACUCGGAAAGGUCAACUGAUACUGUGCGGCUAGAGUGCGGUAGGGGCAACUGGAAUUCUUGGUGUAGCGGUGAAAUGCGUAGAUAUCAAGAGGAACACCUGCGGCGAAGGCGGGUUGCUGGGCCGACACUGACGCUGAUGCGCGAAAGCUAGGGGAGCGAACGGG